UACGGAGGAUCCAAGCGUUAUCCGGAUUUAUUGGGUUUAAAGGGUGCGUAGGCGGAUUAGUAAGUCAGUGGUGAAAGCCUGCAGCUUAACUGUAGAAUUGCCAUUGAUACUGCUAGUCUUGAAUAUAGUUGAGGUAGGCGGAAUAUGACAUGUAGCGGUGAAAUGCUUAGAUAUGUCAUAGAACACCGAUUGCGAAGGCAGCUUGCUAAACUAUUAUUGACGCUGAGGCACGAAAGCGUGGGGAGCAAACAGG
rnacentral:rRNA from 1 species